rnacentral:rRNA from 1 species
GAAUGCUGACAUAAGUAACGAUAAAGCGGGUGAAAAGCCCGCUCGCCGGAAGACCAAGGGUUCCUGUCCAACGUUAAUCGGGGCAGGGUGAGUCGACCCCUAAGGCGAGGCCGAAAGGCGUAGUCGAUGGGAAACGGGUUAAUAUUCCCGUACUUGGUGUUACUGCGAAGGGGGGACGGAGAAGGCUAUGUUGGCCGGGCGACGGUUGUCCCGGUUUAAGCGUGUAGGUGUGUGUUCCAGGUAAAUCCGGUUCACUUUAACACUGAGGCGUGACGACGAGGCACUACGGUGCUGAAGCAACAAAUGCCCUGCUUCCAGGAAAAGCCUCUAAGCAUCAGGUAACACGAAAUCGUACCCCAAACCGACACAGGUGGUCAGGUAGAGAAUACCAAGGCGCUUGAGAGAACUCGGGUGAAGGAACUAGGCAAAAUGGUGCCGUAACUUCGGGAGAAGGCACGCUGACACGUAGGUGAAGUGA